UACGUAGGGGGCAAGCGUUAUCCGGAUUUACUGGGUGUAAAGGGAGCGUAGACGGCCAGACAAGUCUGAAGUGAAAAUCCAGCGCUUAACGUUGGAAGUGCUUUGGAAACUGCCGGGCUAGAGUGCAGGAGGGGCAGGCGGAAUUCCUAGUGUAGCGGUGAAAUGCGUAGAUAUUAGGAGGAACACCAGUGGCGAAGGCGGCCUGCUGGACUGCAACUGACGUUGAGGCUCGAAAGCGUGGGUAGCAAACAGG
rnacentral:rRNA from 1 species